CCCUUUAGGUAAAGAGAAUGCCCUAACUUGCUACCAUUCCCAUAAAUAUGUAAGAAUUGUGCUUCUUUCAUUCAUAAAGACUAAUGUCCUCCAUUUUGUCCGAGCUAUUCCACUCCAACGAUUACGCCCUUUUCUAAUUGGAUCGACUUGGAGCCCAGUCCGUCAUCAAGUGCAUGUCUAACAAGCAAAGUCCUCCUUCGGUACCAUAUAUAAACAAUGCAUCUUGCUCCAUUAAGCCGAAUCUUCCAAAAAAAAAA
rnacentral:lncRNA from 1 species